GUAAAAUACGUGGACACAGCUUGAAACUGUAAACUUGUUUCUGUAAGGGCAGAGGCUCGUUUCCAUCGGCGGGCCUGGAGGAGGGGCGCGGGGCCACCGGUCGAGCGCGCGUCGGGGCGCCGGCGGCGGCUUGGCCGUGGUGGCAGUGGCAGAUUUCCAACCGCCUCCGCGUCUCCGCCCACAUGCGAAGCCAUUGCUAUUCACCUCCGGACGGGCGAGGAAGAACGCGGCGGUUGGAUUUUCGCAGGAGUAUAUGCACAGUGAAAGAACUGCCUUCUCUCGGCGAAUCCAACAUAUUUCUGCAGUGAAAUUGGGCACGGGUCGCCUCCGAACUUGGCAGGCCGUACCGGAAUUGCGCACUUCCUUCUGCCUAGGCAAGCCUGAAAGAGGAAAAACAAGCACCCAUAUUUUUAUGAUUGUAGUGGUAACAGGAUAGUGCAUUAUGAUAUCAGCAUGUAACUUCUGGAAAGGCAGAGGGUUUUACAUCCUUUACAACAAACUCCGUUGUCUCGGCAUGGCAACUCCCAAGGCAACUCCUGCUAGAACUUCUACAGUCCUCGACCGGAUUUCCGUAGCUCGCAAACUCAAUAUCCGUGAUGUGUUUGCCUUGCUGACACCGGAGUCGAACUGCUGGGUGCUUUCUGCGUGACAAGAGUGAUGGAGUGGAUAACUCAUUCACACUACUGUAUACUCGGGUAACCGACAUUGUGUUCACGCUUAUCUGUAGCGGAUCACCACCCAUUUCCUCCAUGAGGACGAGGGUGUUCUCUCUAGGCUUCAGAAAGUAUUGUGGUAUGUGGUACCUUCAGAAAAGACAGUUAAAUGAGACAUCAAUUAUUGGUUUGUUGUUGAUUAUACAAGUUAAAGAAAGGAAUUCAUGUUACUAGUAGGAACUGUUCUCGUACUGACAAGGACUGGGAUGGUUGUCCGCUGGGGGUUUUGAAGGAGGCCCAAUACCGUCCAAUGCUCUCUCCAUUGAUCCACGCCUCACCCUUCCCCAUACUGCUGAGAUUCAGCGUGACGGGGUCACUCCCCCAUGGUGUGUCAAAUGUCGUCUGCACCAAGCAAUAACAAUUUUCUGAAGCUGUCGGUUACCAUCACUGUGGAAUGAACAUGUAAUUGAAGUCUGUCAAGAGUUCAAGACUUAUGUAUAUUUGCUCUACCUUGUACCAGAUAAGUGGAAGGUGCAUGGACUUAUUGAUGGCAGUCCAUUGAGCACGAGAUGAUCCUUCCCGUGUGUAUAUAUUAUUCAUUUCUCCAGAUAAGCCAACCUGAAGAAAUGUAAUUGCUUGAAAAAUUGCACCUGAGAUUGAUCUAUCGAUUCAGAAUCAGUGUUGACCUGGAUUUACUUGGUGUUUCCACAGCUCAUUAUUCAGAGAAUGUGAUUUUUGAUGUCCCUGUUGUAUGCUCACUUUACGAACUCCAAAAAUUCUUCGCUCCAUGUACGCCCCAGAGUCCUUUACUUGUUAAAGGAAAACUCAGUUCA